rnacentral:rRNA from 1 species
CAGCCGCCACGGUAAUACGAAGGGGGCUAGCGUUGCUCGGAAUGACUGGGCAUAAAGCGUGCGUAGGCGGUUCGUUAAGUCUGUUGUGAAAGCCCCGGGCUCAACCUGGGAAUGGCAAUGGAUACUGGCGAGCUAGAGUGUGUCAGAGGAUGGUGGAAUUCCCGGUGUAGCGGUGAAAUGCGUAGAGAUCGGGAGGAACAUCAGUGGCGAAGGCGGCCAUCUGGGACAACACUGACGCUGAGGCGCGAAAGCGUGGGGAGCAAACAGGAUUAGAUACCCGUGUAGUCCCUGUCUCUUAUAC